rnacentral:rRNA from 1 species
GACGAACGCUGGCGGCGUGCUUAACACAUGCAAGUCGAGCGGCAAGGCCCUUCGGGGUACACCAGCGGCGAACGGGGGAGUGACACGUGGGUAAUCUCCUCAUCACUUCGGGAUAACUCCGGGAAACCGGUGCUAAUACUGCAUAUGACCACCUCAGGCAUCAGAUGGUGGUGCAAAGUUCCGGCGGUAAUGGAUGAGCUCGCGGCCCAGCUGCUUGUUUGUGGGGUAGUGGUCUACCAAGGCAUCGACGGCUAGGCGGCAUGAGAGGGUGACCAGCCACACUAGGACUGAGGGACGGCGCAGACUCCAACGGGAGGCAGCGGUGGGAAGUAUUAGACAGUGGGCGAGAGCCUGAUACGGCGGCGCCGGGUGUGGGAUGACGGCCUUCGGGUUGUAAACCUCUUUCAGCAGAGACGAAGCGCAAGUGACGGUACCUGCAGAAGAAGCACCGGCCAACUACGUG